CCUACGGGAGGCAGCAGUGGGGAAUUUUGGACAAUGGGGGCAACCCUGAUCCAGCAAUGCCGCGUGAGUGAAGAAGGCCUUCGGGUUGUAAAGCUCUUUUGUCAGGGAAGAAACGGGUUGGUCUAAUACACUGAUCUAAUGACGGUACCUGAAGAAUAAGCACCGGCUAACUACGUGCCAGCAGCCGCGGUAAUACGUAGGGUGCAAGCGUUAAUCGGAAUUACUGGGCGUAAAGCGUGCGCAGGCGGUUAUAUAAGUCAGAUGUGAAAUCCCUGGGCUCAACCUAGGAACUGCAUUUGAGACUGUAUGGCUAGAGUGUGUCAGAGGGGGGUAGAAUUCCACGUGUAGCAGUGAAAUGCGUAGAUAUGUGGAGGAAUACCGAUGGCGAAGGCAGCCCCCUGGGAUAACACUGACGCUCAUGCACGAAAGCGUGGGGAGCAAACAGGAUUAGAUACCCUGGUAGUCCACGCCCUAAACGAUGUCUACUAGUUGUCGGGUACUUAAUUGUCUUGGUAACGCAGCUAACGCGUGAAGUAGACCGCCUGGGGAGGUACGGUCGCGAGAAGUAAACGUACAAGAGAGUUAGAGCGUGAGAGUAGACGACGACGACGACGAGGGAGGAGG
rnacentral:rRNA from 1 species